GCUAGAACGAACGCUGGCGGCAUGGAUUAGGCAUGCAAGUUGAACGAACUCCUUCGGGAGUGAGUAGCGGAAGGGUGAGGAACGCGUGAGUAAUCUGCCCCCCAGUUGGGAAUAACGGUUGGAAACGACUGCUAAUACCGAAUGUGGCUUAAGCUUCGCCUGGAGCUUUGGCUAAAGAUUUAUCGCUGGGGGAUGAGCUCGCGUCCCAUUAGGUAGUUGGUGAGGUAACGGCUCACCAAGCCGACGAUGGGUAGCUGGUCUGAGAGGAUGGUCAGCCACACUGGGACUGAGACACUGCCCAGACUCCUACGGGAGGCUGCAGUCGAGAAUCUUGGGCAAUGCGCGAAAGCGUGACCCAAGCAAUGCCGCGUGUAUGAUGAAGGCCCUCGGGUCGUAAAGUACUGUCUCCCGUGACGAAAUUUGACGGUAGCGGGGAAGGAAGCCACGGCUAACUACGUGCCAGCAGCAGC
rnacentral:rRNA from 1 species